rnacentral:rRNA from 1 species
UUCAACAACGGAUCUCUUGGCUCUGGCAUCGAUGAAGAACGCAGCGAAAUGCGAUAAGUAAUGUGAAUUGCAGAAUUCAGUGAAUCAUCGAAUCUUUGAACGCACAUUGCGCCCGCCAGUAUUCUGGCGGGCAUGCCUGUCCGAGCGUCAU